rnacentral:tRNA from 1 species
GCGGACGUAGCUCAUUUGGCAGAGCGCCACCUUGCCAAGGUGGAGGUAGCGGGUUCGACCCCCGUCGUCCGCUCCA